AAGUCACCCCCAAAAGAAGAGGAGGGUCUCCUCGGGGCUCGUUUGGGGCAGCUAGGCGCGGGCGGUGGCUGCACAGCCCGGCGGAGAGUUCCAGAUUUUGAAAAGUUUGGGUACAAGCGAUCCCAGUGAACUCUACUCUCAAAAUGAUUAAGAUGGUUAUGAUACUUCAAAUUUAAAUUAAAUUACUUUUGGCUGCUUGGAAAUGCCAACAUCACGACUAAUGAAAGCCUCUAAGAACAUGUGCUGUCUCCAGUAAAGGGUAGCCUAGCAGGACCAAAGCUGUAGAUAAUAGCUAUUCUAUAAACAAAACAUCACAGAACCAACUGUGAUUCCCACCUCAUCAGAAGUCAGGCGGGAAACUGACACCCACUCUGAGCUGUAACAAGGUGACCUCUCCCCCCCUCACCCCCCCCCAAGUAGCAUCUGAGAAGACCCAGUGGGUAGUAUGACUGCCAAUCCUUCUGUGGAAUAAGGAGCAACCAAGUCAACAGAGAAGCUAGGCUUUAAACCUGUGUUAGUCAGGUUCUCCAGAGAAACAAAACCAAUAGUGGUAUAGAUGUGGAUAUGUAUUUAACAGAGGGAUGGCUUGCAAAGCACAGACUGAAAAGACUUUUUCUGCAAUCUGAAAAUCCAGAGAACUCAAAAGCUUGAUUCAUCCCAGGAAGCCAGAAGUCACAGAACAAAGGAGGUUGAGGUCAAAGGCUUUGGAUCCUGAAAGGACUAAUAUUGCCAGACCAGAAUGAAAAGUUACAGAGAGAGAGGGAGAGAGAGAGAGAGAGAGAGAGAGGGAGAGAGAGAGAGAGAGAGAGAGAGAGAGAGAGAGAGAGGAUAGAUACAUACAUACAUACAUACAUACAUACAUACAUACAUAUAUACAUACAUACAUACAUAGACAAAUAGAUAGACAGAUAGAUAGACAGACAGACAGACAGACAGGUUCAGCAAUUGUAUCUUAGUUUUGUCUCAUGUUGCUGCAAUAAAGUGCCCAGACAAAAGCAGUAGGAUAGGGGAGAAAGGAUGCAUUAAAAUCUCCAUUCCUGGUCACAGACCAUCGUUGGAGGGAAGUGAAGGUGGCAGGAACUUUGAGCAGCUGAUCACACCACAUCCACAAUCAAGAGCAGAGAUCAAUGAAUGAACGCAUGCCUGCUAGUGUUCAGCUUGCACUCUGUUUCAUGUAGUCCACAGUUCAGCCCACGAAAUGGUGUUAUUAACAUUCAGGGUGGCCAUUCUUACCUCAGUUAACCCAAUUAAGAAAAUUCCCGUUAGACAUACUCAUAGGUGAACUCAGUCUCGAACAGAGCCUUCCUUCUCGGGUGAUUCUAGAUUGUGUUGGGUUGAUAGCACUACACGUGACAAACUGGAAAAGAUUGUUUAUCUUGCUUCAGAAGGAAGAGGCAGAAGGCUAGGCUCCUCUUCCUUCUUGUGCCUUGGAUCUCCAGCUAAUUAAAUGGUGCUCAGCCAUACUGAAUUUGUUCCAUCAGUCCAAUGAUUGCCACACUAGUAAUCUCUUCAACAAACCGAAGUCGUGCUCAGCUAGUUUUCUAGGUAUGCCUCAAUCCAUUCACACUGACAUCAUCCAGAAGAAUCAUCAUGCAUUCAGUCUCGGUCAUGAAAUGCACCUAUCUGAUUAGAUGACAUUUGAGACACUUCAGUAGAGGAUUCUGACUAUGUGGAUAACUCAAUCAUGGUGCCAUCCUGGGGAGCAAUAGUAAAGAGCUCCCAUCUUUCCCAGCUAGGAGGAUAUUGAAAAGCUACAAAGAGAAUCCUGAGUUCUGCUCUUGUUUGGCAAUGAUAGUGUGUUCCUCUUCUUGAAGAAUGUCAACAGAAGCUGAGUAUGGAAAUUGAACUUCUACCACUACCAAACAAUAAUGAGUGAGUUCCCUCUCAACUGCCCAUCAGUCUGGUGCCAGGAAGGCUGAUUAAAAUAGACUGUUUAAAUAUAGAAAAAUCUCAUAACUUAAAGGCCAGAGGGUCCAAGACUCAACUGAGAAUCCCUCACUUUGCAAAGCUCAGGAAAUCGUAAACACAAAUAAGAAAUGAAAAUGCAUAUAUAUCAACAUCAAGAUGGCAUGAAUACCAGAUUUGCCUGACAGUGUUUUCAAGGCAGACAUGAUAAAAAUGCUUCAAUAAUUGUCAUCUGCAUCUGGAAGCACAUCGCUUACUGGGUCUCCACUCCACCCUGUUGACAGCACUAUUUGCUUCAUUCUAUACAAGGAUGUCCCCUGCACAAAGCCAGGUGCCCUGAUUCUUAGAAUGUAAUGGUGGCCCACGCUAUUCCUUUCAGCUUCCUACCCGAAAACAGAUACUGAACUUCCUGUCUGAGCUAGGAUUUUAUUGCUGUGAUAAACACUACGAACGAUCAAAAGUAACUUGGAGAGAAAAGAGUUUAUGGCAUCCUACAGCCUGCAGUCCGUUAUCCUGGAAAGUCAGGCCAAGAAUUCCAGGCAGGAACCUGGAGGCAAGAACUAAGUGGAAGCCAUAGAAGAAUGCUGCUUCCAGGCUUGUUCCCCAUGCCUUGCUCAGACUUGCUUCUUUCUCCUACAACCUGGAAGUCUGUGAGGGUGUGUUACAUAGUAAAUUUUAAUCAAAGCAACACAAACAAAUGGUCACAAAAUAAAUCAUGCAAAAAUAUUUCCUUAAGAAACAACUGAACCCAGCUCCAGGGUGAUUGGACCCAACGUCAUUCCCCAAAGGCAUCUUUCUUUUAUUGUGUAAAUGAGAGAAAAAUGAUGUACUGUGAAAUGUACCUAUUUUAAGUGUAUUGUUGUGUGGACCCUGAUGAUGGCUCAGAGUUCUGUCACUCUCUCUGUUAAAAUAGAGGGUAUUUGCAUCACUGAGAGAAGAUCGCUCAUGUGAUGACUCAGCUAAUUUUCUCACCCCUAUCCAGGAGGCACAUUAUGUAUGCAGUGUUGCAUGCUAGGCUAGCUUGCCUCUGGUAGAACAUAUAAACAUAUGAAUUUAAUCAUACUGUAUGUUCUCUUAGUUUCUUUCAUAUAGCAUGGAACUGUAACUAUUUCUUAUUGUAGUCAUUUUCAGUUUGUUCCUCAUACAGUAUUUAGUUUCCUGGUUUGCUUAGUAAUUAUACUGUGGGAACAUUUCAAUUAGUGCCUAUUCAUAUUAUAAUUUCUCUAUUUGCUUGAUGAUAGACAUGUAAGCUUUUUCUCUGUUUAGCCCUACUGGGAUUUUGAUUGAAAUUUCAAUGAAUUUGUAGAUAGUUUAGAAGAGUAGCUGUCUCAGAAGUACUUGAUGUUUGAAUCAGUGAGACACUGAACAACUCUGAUUAAGUCUUUGUUAAUUUCUUUUAGUAAUAUAAUCGUUAAUAGUUUGUUAAGUUUAUCGUAUGUAUUUUGAGAUCCUUUGAUGCUGUGGAGAACAGUAUUAUUAUUUCUAUUUUCCUUCUCUUGUUCAAUGUGGUGGUCAGUUUUAUGUGUUCACUAGGUAUUUUUAAAAAUUAUUAUUAUUAUUAUUAUCAUGAUGGUGAUGAUGAUGGUGAUCCUAUGUCUGCAUAGGAUGAGAGAAGAAGACUGUUGGCUUGCCUGGAGUUGGAGUUACAGGCAGUGGUGAGCUACCUGAUAUGGGAACUGGGAAUCAAACCACGGUCCUCUGUCAGAACAAUAUGUCCUCUUAACCACUGAGCCACCUUUUGAGCCUGUCAUUGAGUGAUUUUAUAUUAAAUUGACCAUGGGUCUAGGUGUUGUGACGGAGACACUUUGUAGAUGUAGCAUCUACAAUAAUAACUUUCAGUAAGGAGAUUCCCUUCGCUAAUCUUGGUGGGCUUGGUCCAAUCAGUUAAAAGACCUUAAGAGUAGAAGUGAAGUUUCCCAAGGGAGGACAUACCCUACCCGACUCCUAAGUUUUCAUUCCCUGGAGUCUCUAGUUUGUCUUCCUGAUGGCCUACCCCAUGGAUUUAGUACUUACCUAUCCAGCCCAGACUACCUACCGUGUGAGUCUCAUCCUCAUUAUAAAGUUAUUCACAUCAUCUUCCAGACUCACACCCAUCCUAUAUGGAUCUGAUUUCUCUCCAACAUCUAUGCAUCUACCUCACUCCAACAAGUAAGUGAAUGUUAAAGUAAACUAGCAAACAAAAAAUAUGGUGAACACUAAAGACUUCGGCCAUGUCUAUAUUGUUCCUUUCAAGAGUAAUGAGAAAUGAACUUUACAGAAACUUAAUAAAAUACUUUAAUGGGUUUGCUUACAUUUCCCUGCAUAGUACAUGAGGAUCCAUUCUGCAUUGGGACAAACAGAUCUUAUGUGCAAAGGGUGAGUACACCAGAGAAUCUUAAAUGUACCGUUGCAGUUAGCUUCAAAAAUCAACUCCAUACAUUGCGUCAUAUAGUUUAAAGAUGUGAAAUUUGAACCUUCGUGACUCCUGUAACUAUUUCAAGGGGAUAAGGGACUGGAACCAAAAAUAAAAUAAGAUGGAAUUUGUCAAA